rnacentral:lncRNA from 1 species
AUGGCACACGUGGAAGUCUGCGGAGCCAGGGACCACCUGCAGGGCCCCGGAAGCCAGGAAGCGCCCCCGCCCCCCGCCGGCAGGUGCAGUUGGCCGGGAGCCCGCAGGCCGGGUGACGUCACCCCUUGGCGCUCCAGGAGGGAAGGGGUGUGGCGGGUGCAGGGGGGCGGCUCCGAGCUCCAGCGUGCCGCCCGCCCGCCCCGCCCCGCCCCUCCGGGAGGGCCCCGGGCCGCUGGAAGCCGGGGCUGCUGCAGAGCUGGGGGGAGGGGGAGAGGGUCCCUCAGCGUCACCCCUGCGCGGGAUGCACCUCCCCCAGGCGCCGCCCCCGCCUCCCCCCCAUCCACGUUCACUUCCCAGCCGUUGGGCCAGCGGGGAGGAGCCCAGGUUCUUGGCGCCCGGCCCUGCCCCUUCUCCCCCACCCUGAGAGCCAGGUGUCCCCGGGGUCAGGCCUCCGAGCUAAGGGACCCGGCCUGCAGGAGGGCCCUUCACCUCCGCGCUUCCCCCAGGGCGGCCGCUCCGGGCCCUGGCCUCCUCCCCGGGCUGUCCCGGCCCCCCUCUUCCGGGGCUGCCCCAGCCCCAGCCAGGCACGGCCCUGGAGCGCCGGGGCUCCCCCUGGGCCAGGCACUAGCCUCUGCGCCCGUGUCAGACGUCAAGGUGCGGUGGGGGGCUGCGGCGCACCUAGGGCACCCAUCCCACCCUCAGCCCUGGCCUGGUCCCCACACCUGGGGGCUCCGGGCCAGAAGCAGAGGGAAGCCCCAGGGGGAAGCGGGCAGCCAGGCCCCCCUGUGCCCCCACACCCAGGGCAAUGCCCGGCCCAGUGCCAGGGAGCCUCGGCCCGUGUGUCCCGGGACAGACGGGAGUGAGAGCGGGGCUGAAGAAGGAAGAAGGGCAGGAGCAGCAGUGGAAUUUCUGCUCAGAUUCCUUGAGCCCUGGGCUAGGGGCCAUCGGGACCAGCUCACGCCAGGAAUGCGCUGCCCCGACCCUUGCCAGCUCUCGGGCUCCCCUCGCCAAGCUGUUGCCCUAAUAGCCCACGGAUCAUGCACGUUGGGCUUUCAGGCUGCUUUCUUCCGCAUCAGGUUGGAAGCCCAUCACGUGGCCAUCGUGGAGAUAAAGCAGAUGGGAUUUUAA